UUCUUAUUGCUUUAUAUUUUAUGAAAAUGAAACACUUCACUUCAGGGUAGUAGACUGAAUUUUUCAAAAUUAAAUGUUUCAUAGGAACUUCAAGUUAUCUUUGUAAGCAAAAAUUUCCACUUUUCCUAUAAGCAAAAUGAGGAUUCAGUUUGUUAAUAAAGCUUUUGAGUUGACUUGAGAAGGGAUAACCAGAAAUGAGGCAAAUUUUCUGAUACUAUGUAGCUCAUUCUCUGACCUCCCCCACAACUGCACAUUCAGAAUACUAAUUUUAAGUUCCUAUAUGUGCCAAUCAAGUCAGUUAUAGACAUCAAAAGAGACAAAGUUAAUUAAAAUACUUAGUAGACUACAUGUUUUUAUUUGCUUCUGUUUCUUUUAGCUUUCAGAUUAUUGAACUACUAUUCAAGAUUUUUUGAUGGGGAAAAAUAUGAGAUUUUAUGUCAUUCUCUGUUCUCCUGAAUUCCAGUCCUUAAUCUGUUAAUAACAUGGGAAGUGACCAAGUUAAAAAAUCUCUGACCUUAUGCUUUCUGACUUAUAAAUAUGGUAACUUCAUAGAUUUGUGAGGAUUAAAUGGAAAUGUUAUUCAGAAGUACCUUGUAAAUAGUGUAGAGCCACAAAAUGUCAGUUUUCAACAUCAUCAUUUCAUCAUCAUCAUCAACUGAUAUUUGAAACAAAUAAGAUGACAAGCCACAUUAUUAUUCCUUUAUUAAAGACCUUGUCUUUUAAACAUAACCUAAUGAAUGACACUAUAAAUUAUUUGUACUUUUUUUUAGUGAUAACCUUUCAAACAGUGGCUUGUUUAUAAUGAUUACAAAUUGACUAAGAAUGUCACGUAUUCAUUGUAUAGUUUGUAGCAUAUAUGAUGUUAAGUCAGAGGCUCUCUGCAUAAAUUUCUCCCCAGGGAGUAGCUUACACGUUGGGAGAGUCUGCUUCAAUAAGUUCUUAAUUAUAAAAUGAUCUAACUUUAAAGAAAAUGAAAAUAGAGGUAAUUUGCCCCCUGGGGUGUGAGAAGAUGUUUUUGAAAGCCACAAAGGUUAUCUUAUACAACUUCAGAAAUACAAAUGAGACAUGGAACAUUCACUACAACAUCUGCAUAUUUAUGCAUAUUUAUAAUCUUGGCUCAACACGUCAUCCUGAAGACCUAUAAACAUUCUAACAGCAUUUUUUUAAAAGAGAAAGAAGGAACUUAAAUGGGUAUAUACAUGUGUGUGUGUGUUGCUCCACUUGGGGUGGGGUAUUCAGUUCAGAAACCCUUUGAGCAUUUUUACUUAUUGCAACAGAAUGAGUCAUUACAGACUCAGAAUGAGUCUGAGGUUUAUUACAGUUGGAGAUACAUUAAAAUAAUGUGAACUACUAAUUUUUUCCUUUUCUCCCACUUAAAAUGCUUCUGAGCUACAAUUGUACAGUUCAUACAAUGUUUUUUACAAAGCACAUCUCCAAGACAGAGUACUUCAGACACUGAUCAGGACAACAGAUCACGUCAUUGUUCCAGCGUUUGCCACUUCUAACUCUCUUGCCAUUAUGCCAGGCACAGCCUCCUGUGCAAUUGCCUCACAGUGAAUACAGAUCCUGUGACAUGCUAUUUAUCAUGGCUUCAAAUUGAACAUCCUGGGAGGAUUUUAUGGCUUGGACCUCACCAGCUGUGACAACGCAGAUGAUUUUUAAAAAUGGUGAAAGUUGGGAGCACACACCUCAUCAAAGAAGGCAUAGCCAUUGGUAAUAAGAAUAUUGAAAGAUGCUGAAUAUCAUGUGUUUUCAGAGAAAUUAAAGCAACGAUAUGAUGCUACCCCAAGCCUGUUAGAAUGUCUAUAUUCUAAACAACUGACAAUACCAAAUGUAGAGAGGAUAAAGAACAAUCAGCGGUGCUCAUAUGUUGCUGCAAACUUGCAAUUCAGCCUCCAUUGCUUCAGCAUUGAAUUUUGAAAUGAGAAGAAGUCAUAGAACUGAAGAGACAAUUUUAAUUCUCGCUUCAUCUUUGGAGACAAGAAUGACUUCAGAAAUUAGAGAAAGACAGGCUUUGGGUGUCAUUCAUAUUUACAAAUACGUUCUUUUUUGAAAAAGGAGACAUACAGAAUUUAAAAGAAAGUAUUCUCAUCUGCACACAGUCCCAGAAAUUAUUUCAGGGGUAAAAUGAUCAUUUAGGAGUCACUCCAGAAGCUCUGUCUUGUUAAUUUCCCUCUUGCUGAACAUCACCAAGCCCCUUGUUAAGGUGAGACUGAGGCAAAGGCCUAGUCACCGGCACAAAUGUAGAAUGAGCUGUAGCUCCCUCAGACUGCUGUGCCUGUUCUGCUGAUAUUGCACACUUCCUCUAAAGAGAUUACCAGCAUAAUCCUAAAUAUUAUAGGGCCCGAGCUAUCUUAUUUUUGAGCUCAUCAGAUCCAGCCUCCUGCACGUAAUCCCCAACAGCUUUAUUCAGUGUUUAUGUAAGCUGGGGAAGUUGCAUGAAUAUGAGGACCACUCCUUUUUAUUCCUAGAGACGCUGCUCACAAAAAGUAGUAAGAAUCGAUAGAGUAAAUUUCAGCCUCCAUUGUAACAAAUGUCCUCCUUUGAGCUGCUUUUUCUAUAAGCAGAACUUUCAUAUCUAUUGUUUGAUAGUCUAUAACAAUAUCUGAGUGGAAAUGUUCAUGUUCAUCCUGUUUGCUGUGUUUCUUAUAUAUUAAUUUGUACCAACGGCGUUUUUGUGCUACAAGGAGGCUUAAAUAGGCAGGAAAAUA